CCUACGGGUGGCAGCAGUGGGGAAUAUUGCGCAAUGGGCGAAAGCCUGACGCAGCGACGCCGCGUGAGGGAUGAAGGUCUUCGGAUCGUAAACCUUUGUUAGUAGGGAAGAACGGUCACUGUCCUAAUCAUCAGUGAAUUGACGGUACCUGCAAAGGAAGCACCGGCUAACUCCGUGCCAGCAGCUGCGGUAAUACGGAGGGUGCGAGCGUUAAUCGGAAUUACUGGGCGUAAAGCGCUCGUAGGCGGUAUGUCAAGUCAAGGGUGAAAUCCCCGCGCUCAACGUGGGAACUGCCUUUGAAACUGGCAAACUUGAGUGUGUGAGAGGAUAGUGGAAUUCCAGGUGUAGGAGUGAAAUCCGUAGAUAUCACGCAGAACCCCGAUUGCGAAGGCAGCAUACCGGUGCACAACUGACGCUCAGGCACGAAAGCGUGGGGAGCAAACAGGAUUAGAUACCCUGGUAGUC
rnacentral:rRNA from 1 species